GAACCGGUAUGCAAAGUGGACAAAGCGACCAGGCCUUCAACCUGGUGUCGAGAUGACGUUGCGGGUUCGAGUCCCGUCCGGUUCG
rnacentral:tRNA from 1 species